rnacentral:tRNA from 1 species
GGGGGUAUAACUCAGUGGUAGAGCAUUUGACUGCAGAUCAAGAGGUCCCCAGUUCAACUCUGGGUGCCCCCU